GUGCAGCAGUCGCGAAAACUUCACACUGUGCGAAAGCACGGUGAGGGAAUCCCAAGUGCUUGCACGUAAGUGUAAGCUGUUUCUCUGUCUAAAACGCAGAGAGAGUAAGGGCUGGGUAAGACGGGUGCCAGCCGCCGCGGUAAUACCUGCAGCUCAAGUGGUGACCGUUAUUAUUGGGCCUAAAACGUCCGUAGCCGGUUUAAUAAAUGCCUGGGUAAAUUGUGUAGCUUAACUAUACGAAUUCCGGGUAGACUGUUAAACUUGAGACCGGGAGAAGUUAGAGGUACUCCUGGGGUAGAGGUGAAAUUCUGUAAUCCUAGGGGGACCACCAGUGGCGAAGGCGUCUAACUAGAACGGGUCUGACGGUGAGGGACGAAGCCCUGGGGCGC
rnacentral:rRNA from 1 species